rnacentral:tRNA from 1 species
GGCUGCGUGGCAGAUCGGUCAUGCAGGGGACUGCAAAUCCCCCUAAGUCGGUUCAACUCCGGCCGCAGCCUCCA